CAGAGUUCGUGCCCUCACGGGUAGAUCUCCCACCCUUGUGUAUUUCAUACCUAUGUUGCUUUGGCAGGCCGCUGGGCUGCGGCCUGGCCACCGGCUCCCUGGGGCUGGUGCGUGCCUGCCAGAGGCUCCUUCAACUCUUGUUUGUCAGUGUUGUCUGAGUAUCAUACAAAUCGUUA
rnacentral:misc_RNA from 1 species